rnacentral:rRNA from 1 species
GACGAACGCUGGCGGCGUGCCUAAUACAUGCCAGUUGAGCGCUGAAGGUUGGUACCUGUACCAACUGGAUGAGCAGCGAACGGGUGAGUAACGCGUGGGGAAUCUGCCUUUGAGCGGGGGACAACAUUUGGAAACGAAUGCUAAUACCGCAUAAAAACUUUAAACACAAGUUUUAAGUUUGAAAGAUGCAAUUGCAUCACUCAAAGAUGAUCCCGCGUUGUAUUAGCUAGUUGGUGAGGUAAAGGCUCACCAAGGCGAUGAUACAUAGCCGACCUGAGAGGGUGAUCGGCCACAUUGGGACUGAGACACGGCCCAAACUCCUACGGGAGGCAGCAGUAGGGAAUCUUCGGCAAUGGACGAAAGUCUGACCGAGCAACGCCGCGUGAGUGAAGAAGGUUUUCGGAUCGUAAAACUCUGUUGGUAGAGAAGAACGUUGGUGAGAGUGGAAAGCUCAUCAAGUGACGGUAACUACCCAGAAAGGGACGGCUAACUACGUG